AUGGGAUUUCUUGUUGGCAAUGAUUUUAUCCCUCAUCUACCUCAUUUACAUAUUAAUCAUGAUGCGCUGCCUCUUCUUUAUGGAACAUAUAUUACCAUCCUGCCCGAACUUGGAGGUUAUAUUAAUGAAAGUGGACAUCUCAAUUUACCUCGAUUUGAAAAAUACCUUGUGAAACUAUCUGAUUUUGAUCGGGAGCACUUCAGUGAAGUUUUUGUGGACCUAAAGUGGUUUGAAAGCAAAGUUGGUAACAAGUAUCUCAAUGAAGCAGCAGGUAUCGCAGCUGAAGAAGCCAAGAACUACAAGGAAAAGAAAAAAUCAAAGGGCCAGGAAAAUUCUGUAUGUUGGGCUGCUUUAGACAAAAGUGAAGGUGAAAUGGUAGUUUCUAAGGGUAAGUACAAACUAUUUUAAUAUGUUAUUACUUUGACGGGAUUGUUACACCUUUCCUUUAUUAGUACUAAUGUAGCAUGUUGAAGGGGAUAGAUUCCUAUCUUAAUUUACAAGCAUUAAAUUUGAUAUGCAUUUAUCAAAUCACUGAGUUGAAAAGAGGAUAUUCCUAAUUGUUAAUCACUAUCUUUCUGGCUUUUUUUCCCAGAUAAUUUAGAAGAUGAGACUGAAGAUGAUGAUCUAUUUGAAACCGAGUUUAGACAAUACAAAAGAACAUAUUACAUGACGAAGAUGGGGGUUGAUGUGGUAUCUGAGUACGUUUUUGCCAAUCUUUUUACUUUAAAAAGUGGAAAAAAGGGCCAGGGAUUUAAUUCAGUGGUUCCACCACCUGCUUUGCAAGCGCAAGGUCCCGAGUUUGAUCCCCAGUACCAAAAAGCAAAACAAAAAGAAUGGAAAAAAAAUUGAUUUUGCAGUUCUUCACAAAACAGCUUAAUUUUG
rnacentral:lncRNA from 1 species